rnacentral:tRNA from 1 species
GCCUGGCUGGCUCAGUCGGUAAAGCAUGUGACUCUUGAUCUCAGGGUUGUGAAUUCAAAGCCCCAUGUUGGGCA